AGAUUUAGGCUUUGUUUGGAAUUGCAUGGCGAUUGCGUGACAUGCGGUGAGAAAAUACGUUGAAAAAAUAGUCUGUUUAUUUUUGUACGUGAUAUUGCGUUCAGCAUAGCGCUUAGAUGGAUAAUGCAGUGGCAUACGAGCACUAUUUUUAUACUAGAAAUUUUUUAAAAAAUUAAAAUUUAAUUAUUUUUAAAAUUUUAUUAUAAAUUAUAAUUGCCACCAUCACCAAAAAGACAUAU
rnacentral:lncRNA from 1 species